UCCGGUUUGUCACCGGCAGUCUCAUUAGAGUGCUCUUGCGUAGCAACUAAUGACAAGGGUUGCGCUCGUUGCGGGACUUAACCCAACAUCUCACGACACGAGCUGACGACAGCCAUGCAGCACCUGUGUUACGGCUCUCUUUCGAGCACUCCCCAAUCUCUCAGGGAUUCCGUACAUGUCAAGGGUAGGUAAGGUUUUUCGCGUUGCAUCGAAUUAAUCCACAUCAUCCACCGCUUGUGCGGGUCCCCGUCAAUUCCUUUGAGUUUUAGCCUUGCGGCCGUACUCCCCAGGCGGAGUGCUUAAUGCGUUAGCUGCGGCACAGAGCGGGUUGAAGACCGCCCCACACCUAGCACUCAACGUUUACGGCUGGGACUAC
rnacentral:misc_RNA from 1 species